GGCAGAAUAGCUCAGUUGGAUACCUUUGGGUUAGAGCAUCUCACAUGACAUGAGAAGGUCGCAGAUUUGAAUCCUGCUUCAGCCA